CAGCACCUCAAGUGGUCAGGAUGAUUAUUGGGCCUAAAGCAUCCGUAGCCGGCUCUGUAAGUUUUCGGUUAAAUCUGUACGCUCAACGUACAGGCUGCCGGGAAUACUGCAGAGCUAGGGAGUGGGAGAGGUAGACGGUACUCGGUAGGAAGGGAUAAAAUCCUUUGAUCUAUUGAUGACCACCUGUGGCGAAGGCGGUCUACCAGAACACGUCCGACGGUGAGGGAUGAAAGCUGGGGGAGCAAACCGGAUUAGAUACCCGCGUAGUCC
rnacentral:rRNA from 1 species